rnacentral:lncRNA from 1 species
UAUCACAAUACAACAAAGUUUACAAAUAUCACAAAAAGCACAAGUUCAUAAUUUUUAAUAUCACAUGUUCACAAUUCACAAUAUCACAAGUUCACAAUAUAAUAAUGGAUCACAUAGAUCACAAGUUCACAAUAUAAAAAAUUAAUCUCACAUAUCACAAGUUCACAAUAUAACAAGUUGAUCACAAGUUUACAAUAUAACAAGCGGAUAUUGAAAAUGAAAAACGAGUGCCAACUCCGAACAGCAAAACCCUGUAUAUACCACACAUAGAAGACAUCAAGGUCUUAUCGAGAUGUAAUCAGAUUCGCAUUAAUCAAUAUUAGGCUGAUAUGAAUUAGAAUAGAACUCCAAGUAAAUUUUAAUAUACCUAAUACAUGAUUUCAGCGAGGGAUUCGAACAAUAUCCAAACAAAACCCCAAGUGACAAGUGUGUGGCCGUGUGGGGGUGGGGGAGGGAGAGGCUAGUAGGCUACAGCCUACAACCACGGAGCUCUUUGCAGGCUUGCAGCAACCGAGGAGAAGCCGUGCAGGCUGUUCAGGAAGAGGAGCGGCGGCAAGCGGGGCAUGGGCGUGCGCGUGCGAGCCGACGGCAGCGGCAAGGGCAGGUCCUUCUCCGGGCGGUGCGUGCGUCCAUAUAUGGCCACAAAGCUAGGAUUAGGGAUUACAGAUUUACAGAUUAGUAGAUUACUUACAGUAGAUUGGGGGCAGUGCGUCCGUCCGUGGUAUGCACGCGCAGCCUGGCAAAGAGAAGGAAGAUGAGUCACGGAAUUUGGGGCACGACAUGGAGCGCUGAGCAGAGCAGUGAGCAAUGGCGACUGGCGGUGGCGGUUGUGUGCGGUGUGCCUGUGGGGCUGCGCUGUGCCUGGGGG